rnacentral:rRNA from 1 species
GCCGCGGUAAUACGUAGGGUGCAAGCGUUGUCCGGAAUUAUUGGGCGUAAAGAGCUCGUAGGCGGUUUGUCGCGUCUGCUGUGAAAUCCCGAGGCUCAACCUCGGGCUUGCAGUGGGUACGGGCAGACUAGAGUGCGGUAGGGGAGAUUGGAAUUCCUGGUGUAGCGGUGGAAUGCGCAGAUAUCAGGAGGAACACCGAUGGCGAAGGCAGAUCUCUGGGCCGUAACUGACGCUGAGGAGCGAAAGCAUGGGGAGCGAACAGGAUUAGAUACCCUGGUAGUCCAUGCCGUAAACGUUGGGCGCUAGAUGUAGGGACCUUUCCACGGUUUCUGUGUCGUAGCUAACGCAUUAAGCGCCCCGCCUGGGGAGUACGGCCGCAAG